UUUUGCCUACGGGACGCAGCAGUGGGGAAUAUUGCACAAUGGGGGAAACCCUGAUGCAGCAACGCCGCGUGAGUGAAGAAGUAUUUCGGUAUAUAAAGCUCUAUCAGCAGGGAAGAAAAUGACAGUACCUGACUAAGAAGCCCCGGCUAGCGACGUGCCAGCAGCCGCGGUAAUACGUAGGGGGCAAACGUUAUCCGGAUUUACUGGGUGUAAAGGGAGCGUAGACGGCUGCGCAAGUCAGAAGUGAAAGCCCGGGGCUCAACCGC
rnacentral:rRNA from 1 species